rnacentral:rRNA from 1 species
AUGCCGCAGUACCAGGAGCUGCCCUGCGGCGGGCAGGUGCUCGACAUCGACGCCGCGCUCAAGGAUGGCAUCCUGGGGUGCGGCCCGGAGCCCGGGGACGGCGCGCUGGGCGACGGAGGGAAGCAGCCGGUGGAGCUGAGGAAGAUGAUGGACGAGCUGGAUGCGGCCGGCGACGGCGGCGGGGACGAGGUCGUGCCUGCCGUCUUCAUCUGCCCGAUCUCCCUGGAGCCCAUGGUGGAUCCGGUCACGCUCUGCACCGGCCAGACGUACGAGCGCGCCAACAUCUCCCGGUGGCUGGCGCUGGGCCACCGGACCUGCCCGACCACGAUGCAGGAGCUCUGGGACGACGCGCUCACCCCCAACGCCACGCUCCGGCAGCUCAUCGCCGCCUGGUUCUCCAGGCGGUACACCCGCUUCAAGAAGCGCUCGGCCGACUACCACGGCCGCGCCGCGGACCUUGUCCACGGUCUCCGCGGCACGGCCGUCCCAAGGAGGCAGCCCCUCAAGGGCCAGGCCCGAGUCGCCGCGCUCCGGGAGUUGCGCUCCCUCGCCUCCAACCACCAGUCCGUGACCAAGGCCAUAGCCGAGGCCGGCGGCGUGUCGUUGCUGACCUCACUUCUUGGCCCCUUCACGUCUCAUUCCGUGGGGUCCGAGGCGGUGGCCAUUCUUGUGAGCGGCGUGCCGCUCGACGCCGACGCGAAGGCGGCGCUGAUGCAGCCGGCAAAGGUGUCCCUCGUGGUGGACAUGCUCAAUGAGGGCGCCGUCGACACCAAGAUCAACUGCGUCCGCCUCAUCCGCAUCCUCAUGGAGGAGAAAGGGUUCCGGCCGGAGACGGUGGCGAGCCUGAGCCUCUUGGCCGGCUCCAUGCGCCUGGUCCGGGACAAGCGGCACCAGGACGGUGUGGCCGCUGGGCUAGAGCUGCUCAAUUCCAUCUGCGCCGUGCACAGGCCGGCCAGGAGUAUGAUUGUCAGCAUUGGUGCGGUGCAGCAGCUGGUGGAGCUGCUGCCGGAGCUGGCGACGGAGUGUGUGGAGCCAGCCUUGGACAUCCUUGACGCGCUCGCCUCAGUCCCUGAAGGCAUGACGGCUCUCAAGGAUUGCCCGAGGACGAUACCCAACGCCGUCCGAUUGCUGAUGAGGGUGUCCGAGGCCUGCACGCAGCGUGCCCUGUCGAUGCUGUGGGUGGUGUGCAGGAUGGUGCCCGAGGAGUCGGCACCCGCCGCCCUGGAGGUCGGACUGGCCGCCAAGCUUCUGCUGGUGAUCCAAAGCGGGUGCGGGCCGGAGCUGAAGCAGCAAGCCUCGGAGUUGCUCAAGCUUUGCACCAUGCAUUGCACAUCCACCGUCUUCCUCGCAAAAUGCAAGCUCACCAAGACAAUUCAGUGA